CAUCGAGACUCCUACGGGAGGCAGCAGUGGGGAAUAUUGCACAAUGGGCGCAAGCCUGAUGCAGCCAUGCCGCGUGUAUGAAGAAGGCCUUCGGGUUGUAAAGUACUUUCAGCAGUGAGGAAGGUGGGUAUGUUAAUAGCAUAUUCAUUUGACGUUAGCUGCAGAAGAAGCACCGGCUAACUCCGUGCCAGCAGCCGCGGUAAUACGGAGGGUGCGAGCGUUAAUCGGAAUUACUGGGCGUAAAGCGCAUGCAGGUGGUUUGUUAAGUCAGAUGUGAAAGCCCGGGGCUCAACCUCGGAAUUGCAUUUGAAACUGGCAAACUAGAGUACUGUAGAGGGGGUAGAAUUUCAGGUGUAGCGGUGAAAUGCGUAGAGAUCUGAAGGAAUACCGGUGGCGAAGGCGGCCCCCUGGACAGAUACUGACACUCAGAUGCGAAAGCGUGGGGAGCAAACAGGAUUAGAUACCCUGGUAG
rnacentral:rRNA from 1 species